UUAGGAUCUAAUCAGCAACGAUCUUCUUGCUUUAUUUAAGUAGCUCUAUAACAAUAAUCUUGAUCUCUCCAAGCUUUAUUAUGCUUUGAUCUUUUUAAUCCCUAAGGAGGCUACCUUGCAUCCAUCAGAGUUUAGAUGUAUCAGCUUAAUUCAUGGUUGCAUAAAAAUAGUCACUAAGGUUCUUGCAAAUAGGCUGUAACCUUUUAUAGACUCUUUAAUUGAUUCUGCUCAAGUAGCCUAUAUUAAAGCUUGAUCAAUCCUUGACAACAUCCUUGUGCACAUGAAGUUCUUUACCAUGC
rnacentral:lncRNA from 1 species